rnacentral:rRNA from 1 species
UACGAAGGGGGCUAGCGUUGUUCGGAUUUACUGGGCGUAAAGCGCACGUAGGCGGAUCUUUAAGUUAGAGGUGAAAUCCCAAGGCUCAACCUUGGAACUGCCUUUGAUACUGGGGAUCUUGAGUCCGGGAGAGGUGAGUGGAACUGCGAGUGUAGAGGUGAAAUUCGUAGAUAUUCGCAAGAACACCAGUGGCGAAGGCGGCUCACUGGCCCGGUACUGACGCUGAGGUGCGAAAGCGUGGGGAGCAAACAGG